rnacentral:rRNA from 1 species
AUGAACGCUGGCGGCGUGCCUAAUACAUGCAAGUCGAGCGAACAGACGAGGAGCUUGCUCCUCUGACGUUAGCGGCGGACGGGUGAGUAACACGUGGAUAACCUACCUAUAAGACUGGGAUAACUUCGGGAAACCGGAGCUAAUACCGGAUAAUAUACUGAACCGCAUGGUUCAAUAGUGAAAGACGGUUUUGCUGUCACUUAUAGAUGGAUCCGCGCCGCAUUAGCUAGUUGGUAAGGUAACGGCUUACCAAGGCAACGAUGCGUAGCCGACCUGAGAGGGUGAUCGGCCACACUGGAACUGAGACACGGUCCAGACUCCUACGGGAGGCAGCAGUAGGGAAUCUUCCGCAAUGGGCGAAAGCCUGACGGAGCAACGCCGCGUGAGUGAUGAAGGUCUUCGGAUCGUAAAACUCUGUUAUUAGGGAAGAACAAAUGUGUAAGUAACUAUGCACGUCUUGACGGUACCUAAUCAGAAAGCCACGGCUAACUACGU